rnacentral:rRNA from 1 species
GACAGAGGGUGCAAACGUUGCUCGGAAUUACUGGGCGUAAAGCGCGUGUAGGCGGGCUGGCGUGUCGGGUGUGAAAUCCCUGAGCUCAACCUGGGAAUGGCAUUGGAUACUGGCAGUCUAGAGUGCGGUAGAGGGUAGCGGAAUUCCCGGUGUAGCAGUGAAAUGCGUAGAUAUCGGGAGGAACAUCCGUGGCGAAGGCGGCUACCUGGACCAGCACUGACACUGAGGCACGAAAGCGUGGGGAGCAAACAGG